rnacentral:lncRNA from 1 species
UGGAGUUGAAAUAAGAUUAACAAAAUGAAAUGACUUUGUAAGAGACGAGUAUUCGUCGAGAACCGUGAUACAUCGAAAGAGAUAGUCCAGUUUGUACAUGAAAUGCAUCCUAUUUUUGUUGUAACCCUUCCAACUUUUUAGCACAUGCCAUGUGGGUGAAAUGAUGAUACAUGCCAAGUUUCAGUCUUUUCCGAGUUGAUUUGUAGCGCUUUUCAAUUUCAG